rnacentral:lncRNA from 1 species
GCUGACAGAGGUGGCAGAGGUGGCACAGUCGGUGGCAGAUCUAUGGGAGUUAGGGCAGCACGGGCUAGGGUUUCUUUUGUUUUUCUAUUUUUUUGGGCAUUAGGCUAAUUGGGCUUGAAUUGGGAAAUUUUGGUUUUGGGCCUGUCUAAUUUUUGUUGGGUUUGUAAUUGGUUGUAUUGGGUUUUAGUUUUUUAUGGGCCCUGGCAGGAUUGGCCCACAACAAUAUCAAAUUAGAACAUAUAAAGACAAUUUAGUAAGACUUUUGAGGGAGCAAAUUUAAAAUAAAUUUGAUAGGGUUUGGUGUAGAAACG